CUACGGGGGGCAGCAGUGGGGAAUAUUGGACAAUGGGGGAAACCCUGAUCCAGCAAUGCCGCGUGUGUGAAGAAGGCCUGCGGGUUGUAAAGCACUUUCGGUUGGGAGGACUGCUUCUAGCACUAAUAUUGUUGGAAGUUGACGUUACCUUCAGAAGAAGAACCGGCUAACUCCGUGCCAGCAGCCGCGGAAAUACGGAGGGUGCAAGCGUUAAUCGGAAUUACUGGGCGUAAAGCGCGCGUAGGCGGCUAGAUCAGUCGGGUGUGAAAGCCCCGGGCUUAACCUGGGAACUGCAUCCGAUACUGUCUAGCUUGAGUACAGGAGAGGAGAGUGGAAUUCCACAUGUAGCGGUGAAAUGCGUAGAUAUGUGGAGGAACACCAAUGGCGAAGGCAGCUCUCUGGCCUGAUACUGACGCUGAGGUGCGAAAGCGUGGGGAGCAAACAGGAUUAGAUACCCGCGUAGUC
rnacentral:rRNA from 1 species